AACGUAGGUACCGAGCGUUAUCCGGAUUUACUGGGCGUAAAGCGCGUUCAGGCGGUUUGGCAAGUCGGGCAUGAAAUCUCUCGGCUCAACCGGGAGAGGUUGUCCGAUACUUCCAGACUUGAGGGCAGUAGAGGGUGGUGGAAUUCCGGGUGUAGUGGUGAAAUGCGUAGAUAUCAGGAGGAACACCGGUGGCGAAGGCGGUUCUCUGGGCAUGUCCUGACGCUGAGGAGCGAAAGUGUGGGGAGCGAACAGG
rnacentral:rRNA from 1 species